UUCCCUGAGUAGCGGCGAGCGAAACGGGAAGAGCCCAAACCAAUAAGCUUGCUUAUUGGGGUUGUAGGACACUCUGUACGGAGUUACAAAAGAAUUUGUUAGACGAAUAACCUGGAAAGGUUAAUCAUAGAAGGUAAUAAUCCUGUAGUCGAAAACGAAUUCUCUCUUGAGUGGAUCCUGAGUACGACGGAGCACGUGAAAUUCCGUCGGAAUCUGGGAGGACCAUCUCCUAAGGCUAAAUACUCUCUAGUGACCGAUAGUGAACCAGUACCGUGAGGGAAA
rnacentral:rRNA from 1 species